ensembl:miRNA mdo-mir-7342 mdo-mir-7342
CCUGCCUCUCCCCUUGUGUGGAGUGCUUAAGAAAUGCCUCACAAGUGAGGAGGCAGGUU